CCCCUAGAUGUUCUGGGCCGCACGCGCGCUACACUGAACAGUUCAACAAGUCUUAACCUUGGCCGAUAGGUCUGGGUAAUCUAUGAACGCUGUUCGUGAUUGGGAUAGACCUUUGCAAUUAUGGGUCUUCAACGAGGAAUUCCUAGUAAACGCAAGUCAUCAGCUUGCAUUGAUUACGUCCCUGCCCUUUGUACACACCGCCCGUCGCACCUACCGAUUGAAUGGUCCGGUGAAAUCUCGGGACGGCGGCUUGGUCGCUUGCGUCCGACUGCUGAAACUUGAUUAAACCAUAUCAUUUAGAGGAAGGUGAAGUCGUAACA
rnacentral:rRNA from 1 species